UUAAAAUAUUUAAUUUUAUUAACAGAAUAUUUACAUUUGAGACCUUAUUUAAUCAUAGUGAAUGCUCCAAGUUUAAAAAGCAUUAGGCAGUAACCACACACAAGAUGAAAACAGUGUAAAGUAUACAAUACUUUAUGUACAUUUUUACAAAGUAACACUUUUUUAAAUAAUAUAACUGGACACAAAAAUAUACACUUUAGAGAAAUUCACAUCAGUAAUUGUAUAAAGCUCUCUUCUAGGGUCCUGAAAAUUUAGGACAAACAUUAGCUCUGUAAAUAAAGUGUUACCGUGACAGUCCUGAAAGGCCACUAUAUAUAUUUAUCUACAUAUAGAUAUCACAUUGACAUUUUCAAGGCUACCAGCUUUACUAUAGAAUUUUUAGAUUAUGUAUUCAAGUGUUGAGGUCCUUAUGAUUAUGCAAACAUCAAAGGAAUAGUGGAAUAAGAAGCAGAGCAAAUUUACACGAAUUGGGCCAGAACACGGAUGCACAGGCUCUGGCUGCCCCAACUUAGAUCGUCAGUGGCUGAUAUAUUCAUACUUCAGACAGCAGUGAAGGUUUUAAAUAAAAUUAUGGCAAACAGGCUUGAAACAUGAUUCUGAUUUUCUACAAUUUUCACAAGUUCUUUUAAAUGCAAACAAUUCUUUACCAUUUCUUUAUUCUAGUGCAUCUGCAUUAAGGCUUUGAAUUAUUGACCCAAGAUUUUACAAUGACUCAGGUUUUACAAUGUUAAAGCAAACAGGUCCAUAACCAUCCCGCCUACUGUGUCACUGAGUCAGCAUGAGCAGGUAAAGGCUCAACACCUAAGGAAAUGGCAGAGACGUGCUGACAGCGGAGUUACAUAUAUAGCUUUAAUUAAAGAUGUGUAAUAAAACAGUUUAGUGGCAAGAGAGUGGUGCUAAUAUAAACAAAAGGUUUCUUUUCGAAAGAAAUUGUAACAUCUUUGGAAAACUGUCCGGUUCUUUCUUUAGUUCCCACGGAGUUCAUGCAGGUAUUUCUUAAGACAAUCUUAAAGUACAUUGGAGAUGGGGAUGGAAUGUACGUCCAGAACUACAGGUGAAAACUAAGACCUGGGUGAGCUGAGAGAAGUCUUCCUGAUUUCAGUCACACAUUCGUGUCCUGGAGUAAAGGUUCUUUGGCCUCUCCUGGCGCUUGUGUACUGUGAGGAUGGCUGUAACCACCACAAUGCUUCCUCCAACUGCUGGACCUUAAACUUAAAUUAGUAUGCUCCGGAAUAAACAAGGCAACGAGCAGAGCCAGCAGUACUGGGCAGGCUCCAAAGAGGAAGGGGGACCAGGGAUGAUGGAAUUCUGUUCAAAGUGGUGCUGAGGGCUUGUGUUUGUCCCCAGGUCUGGCCCUGUGAUUGGCAGUUGUUUAAGUUCCACAUGGAAUAUGUAGAAAAUGAAGCCAUAAAGGGCUGGUCCCAGACCAUUGCACAGUCCUCGGAUUCCUGUUAUCAUUCCCUGAACAACACCCUGUUGAUCGGCAUCAGCAGUCCGUGAAACCAGGGCACUAACAGCUGGAAAGGUGAUGCUAGACAUGGCUGCCACUGCCCCAGCAGCCCACAUCAUCCAAGGUUCUGAACCAAAGCCGUACCAUGCCAGCUGUAAUAUUUGAAAUCCCAGACCGAGUAAGAUGGUAUUCUUAUUUCCAAUUGACCUCAUGAGUAAACUCAAGACUAUGGUCUGUGCAAUAAUGGACAGAAUGCCAAGGACCGCUAUAAAGGCUGCCACACUUUCUGGGGAAAAUUUCAUUAUCUGUCUGAGGUAUAAGAAGAAGCUGGAGUACUGGCCUGCUUCGGGUAGGUAGGAGAGAAACACCGUGAUACAGAUCAGCAGCACUAUGGAAUCUUGGCCCACUUUUUUUAAAGAUGCAAAGGGGUCAGCCUGUUUCCAGGAAAUGGGAGCGCCCCACGAUGCUGGCCUCAUCUUCUCAGGCAAUGACUCUGGCACAGCAACAAGGAUAAAACAGAUGUCUAGCAGGGCUAUUGCUGUAGCAAGGACCACCACUAAGCUGUCCCCAUACACUCGUCCAAGGUAGGCUCCAAUUGCAGGGCUGGUAACUAAGCUGGCAGCGAAUGUAGCGGAAACCAGCCCAUAAGCCAUACUUCUUUCAUGCUCUUGAGUUAUAUCUGCUACAUAUGCAAAUACCACAGAGAAUGUUACUGCAAAAACCCCAGAAACAGAGAUAACUGCAAAGUACCACAAUGGGCUGAUCUUCAUUAGAGGAAUAGGGGCACAUGUGAAAAACACUGUUAGCAGCAAGAAGGAUUUUCGGCCCCAAACAUCAGAAAGAGCACCAAUAAGUGGGGCACUGAGGAAGGACAACAAACCCUAGGGAUGCUUUACUCCUUGAAUUAGGCCAUUCAUCAGAAAUGUAUGUUUAGGGAAGGUUUCAUGCAAUACCACCAAUGUGGGUGCUGUCAGUAGUCCCCAAGCAAAAAACUCCAAAAAGAUGACGAUAACCGCAUGAUAAACACUAGGGGAGCCUAUUCCUUGAGGCGUGCCUCCGUCCUUAAUGAUGAUCUUUUUGGCCAGCAUGAUACUGCGGUUUGCGGCCCGUUUCUUUUUCUUCCCCUGGGUCAUUUUACCAUCCUCGAC
rnacentral:lncRNA from 1 species